rnacentral:rRNA from 1 species
AACAUAACCUUUAGCCAAACAAAUAUUAAAGGCAACGCCUGCCCAGUGAACAAUUAAACGGCCGCGGUACCCUAACCGUGCAAAGGUAGCGUAAUCAUUUGUCUACUAAUUAUAGACCUGUAUGAAAGGCAAAAUGAGGGUCUGACUGUCUCUUAUAAUAAAUCAAUUAAACUGAUCUCCUAGUAAAAAAGCUAGAAUUCCAACAUAAGACCAGAAGACCCUGUGAAGCUUAAACUAAACCAUUAAACCCAAUAAUGAUUACUUUCGGUUGGGGCGACCUUGGAAAAAAAAAGAACUUCCAAACAAUGUGACUAAUCACACCCAAUACUAGGCCUACAAGCCAAUAAACGACCCAGCACAGCUGACAAAUGAACCAAGUUACUCCAGGGAUAACAGCGCAAUCUUCUUCAAGAGCCCAUAUCAAAAAGAAGGUUUACGACCUCGAUGUUGGAUCAGGACAUCCUAAUGGUGCAGCCGCUAUUAAGGGUUCGUUUGUUCAACGAUUAAUAGUCCUAC